GAUGAACGCUGGCGGCGUGCCUAAUACAUGCAAGUCGAACGCAUUGUGGUUGAAAUGAUAUGAAGAACUUGUUCAGAUUUGAUUUUCAACAUUGCAAUGAGUGGCGAACGGGUGAGUAACACGUGGGAAACCUACCUCUUAGCAGGGGAUAACAUUUGGAAACAAAUGCUAAUACCGUAUAAUAAUUAAAACCGCAUGGUUUUAGUUUAAAAGAUGGUCUUGCUAUCACUAAGAGAUGGUCCCGCGGUGUAUUAGUUAGUUGGUGAGGUAAUGGCUCACCAAGACAAUGAUACAUAGCCGAGUUGAGAGACUGACCGGCCACAAUGGGACUGAGACACGGCCCAUACUCCUACGGGAGGCAGCAGUAGGGAAUCUUCCACAAUGGACGAAAGUCUGAUGGAGCAACGCCGCGUAGCGUGAUGAAGGGUUUCGG
rnacentral:rRNA from 1 species